GUCCUUUCAAGGAUGUCAAAUAAAAUUGAAACGAUAAAAAAGAAAAAAUUAGUAUAGCUUUUAUAUAAAGAUGACUUGGAUAAAUCAAGAAACGAUCUAAAUUUUU